UAUGGCCACAUCACAUUGAAGCACUGGCUCUCAUACAAUCACUGAAGUUAAGCAAUGUCAAGCCUGGCCAGUACCUAGAUGGGUGACUGUUUGGGAAUACCAGGUGAUGUAAU
rnacentral:rRNA from 1 species